AUUGAACGCUGGCGGCCGGCCUAACACAUGCAAGUCGAGCGGAUGAAGGGAGCUUGCUCCUGGAUUCAGCGGCGGACGGGUGAGUAAUGCCUAGGAAUCUGCCUGGUAGUGGGGGAUAACGUCCGGAAACGGGCGCUAAUACCGCAUACGUCCUGAGGGAGAAAGUGGGGGAUCUUCGGACCUCACGCUAUCAGAUGAGCCUAGGUCGGAUUAGCUAGUUGGUGGGGUAAAGGCCUACCAAGGCGACGAUCCGUAACUGGUCUGAGAGGAUGAUCAGUCACACUGGAACUGAGACACGGUCCAGACUCCUACGGGAGGCAGCAGUGGAGAAUAUUGGACAAUGGGCGAAAGCCUGAUCCAGCCAUGCCGCGUGUGUGAAGAAGGUCUUCGGAUUGUAAAGCACUUUAAGUUGGGAGGAAGGGCAGUAAGUUAAUACCUUGCUGUUUUGACGUUACCAACAGAAUAAGCACCGGCUAACUUCGUG
rnacentral:rRNA from 1 species